rnacentral:rRNA from 1 species
UUAAUUGAAGAGUUUGAUCAUGGCUCAGAUUGAACGCUGGCGGCAGGCCUAACACAUGCAAGUCGAGCGGUAACAGAAAGUAGCUUGCUACUUUGCUGACGAGCGGCGGACGGGUGAGUAAUGCUUGGGAACAUGCCUUGAGGUGGGGGACAACAGUUGGAAACGACUGCUAAUACCGCAUAAUGUCUACGGACCAAAGGGGGCUUCGGCUCUCGCCUUUAGAUUGGCCCAAGUGGGAUUAGCUAGUUGGUGAGGUAAUGGCUCACCAAGGCAACGAUCCCUAGCUGGUUUGAGAGGAUGAUCAGCCACACUGGAACUGAGACACGGUCCAGACUCCUACGGGAGGCAGCAGUGGGGAAUAUUGCACAAUGGGCGCAAGCCUGAUGCAGCCAUGCCGCGUGUGUGAAGAAGGCCUUCGGGUUGUAAAGCACUUUCAGUCAGGAGGAAAGGUUAGUAGUUAAUACCUGCUAGCUGUGACGUUACUGACAGA